rnacentral:rRNA from 1 species
UACGUAGGGGGCGAGCGUUGUCCGGAUUUAUUGGGCGUAAAGAGCUCGUAGGCGGUUUGGUAAGUCGGGUGUGAAAUCUCCACGCUCAACGUGGAGGGGCCACUCGAUACUGCCAUGACUCGAGUCCGGUAGAGGAGUGUGGAAUUCCCGGUGUAGCGGUGAAAUGCGCAGAUAUCGGGAGGAACACCCGUAGCGAAGGCGGCACUCUGGGCCGGAACUGACGCUGAGGAGCGAAGGCGUGGGGAGCGAACAGG